AUGAGGCGACGCCACGAGCUGCUGGUUUCGCCGUCUUUUUGCUUGAGCGGCCUCGUGCUGCUGCUCGCGCUCUCUGCUCGGGCUCAGCGGCAGGCGCAGACAGAUCCGUCCGAAGUGGCCGCGCUGAACGCCAUGUUCUCGCGGUGGGGCCUGCGGGCGUCCACGGCGUGGAACAUCAGCGGCGAGCCUUGCAGCGGUGCCGCCGUCGACGACACCGACAUUGAUUCAGACAACAAACUCAAACUGGGCAUUAAGUGCGUCUGCUCCUACAACGUCAGCACCGUCUGCCACAUAACCCAGCUGAAAGUAUAUGCACUAGAUGUGGUUGGUCAGAUUCCUGCGGAACUGCAAAAUCUAACUUACCUGACAAACCUGAAUUUAGCGCAGAAUUACUUAGCUGGAUCUUUACCAGCAUUUCUUGGAAAGUUGACUCGGUUGCAGUAUCUAACUUUGGGAACCAAUGCAUUAACUGGAGUUCUACCGAGGGAGCUGGGUAACCUCGAGAAUCUCGUUGCGAUGGCCAUUAGCACAAAUAAGUUUGUCGGUCCACUCCCUGAAGUAGUAGAAAACUUGAGCAAUCUUGAGCAACUGUAUAUCGAUAGUUGUGGUUUAAGUGGAGAGCUGCCAUCUACCUUUUCCAAACUUAAGAACCUGAAAGUCCUAUGGGCAUCAGAUAACGAGUUUACUGGGAAGAUACCUGAUUAUAUUGGAAGCUUAUCCAAUUUGACGGAUCUGUAA
rnacentral:rRNA from 1 species